ensembl:lncRNA novel transcript
ACAGGCGGGCACUCUCUGCGGGUCCCGCGGCUCCCGCGGCUUCCGGCCCACUCAGCGCCUCCAGAGGCCUCAGGUGAGGGUCACCCCCCGCAGCUUGGGGUCACUCCCCUGAGCCCCCGGAUCUUCCCAUGGGUCCUUUGGAGGCCUGGGUUUUGGAGUUUGUCCUUCGUUAAGUGCCGCCCGCCGGGCGCGGCUGCUCCAGGACCACAGACGAGUCUCGCUCUGUUGCCCAGGAUGGAGUGCAGUGGCGCGAUCUCGGCUCGCUGCAAGCUCCGCCUCAGCCUCCGGAGUAGCUGGGACUACAGGAGCCCGCCACCACGCCCAGCUAAUUUUUUUGUAUUUUUAGUAGAGACGGGGUUUCACCGUGUUAGCCAGGAUGGUCUCGAUCUCCUGACCUUGUGAUCCGCCUGCCUCGGCCUCCCAAAGUGCUGGGAUUACAGGCAUUUCGCUGGGGAUGCUACUUGAUCUCUCUUCAGCCUCAGUUUCCUCACCUGGACAGUGGAGCUGAACCCACCCCCCACUAUCUGACCCUGCUCUCUGGGCUGUCUUUUGGGAACCCGCCCUGCUGAGGCCUGCUCCCCACCCUCCAUGGCUGUCAGCCCCCCAGGAGAAGAAUGUCUGCCAUAUGGAGGCUGCUGGCAGCAAAGGGAGAUGAACAAGCCAAGGUUGCCCGGCCUGCAUGCCGGCCCAGGGCUGCUGCUGUGUCUUGCCAUCAACCCUCCCCUGACACCCAGGAUGCCUGCCUCACCCAGAAGCACUCCUACGUCAGGCCUCUGAGGGGGAGCGCUUCAUGCCACUGUUAUCAAAAGAAGAAACCAUCGAAGCAGAAAGGCCAAUGCCACACUAGACAGCCAGGAGCCCAGCAGAACAAGUGGCCCCCUAAGGCACUUUGGGGACCACACCCCGCCACUGACCCCAGCACAGUCUGGUUCCCAGGGCUUCAGGAUCCUCCUGGGGACCUCUCAGCAUGAUUGACACAGGCAGACGGGACCUGAAGGGGCUGCUGGUCCUUCUGAAAAUGUUCACCAGGUAGUGUGAGUGUGGGGAAGCCAUGAACAAUGUGUGGGACUCUACCCUGCACCUGCUCAGAGCCUCAGCCCUUCAGAGCCACUACUAAUGAUUUGCUGUGGGUGGGGUCACCCUGAUACUUCUCUGAGGUGGCUUUUUCUUGCAGUUUUUCUGAGUAACUGACAGGAAUCCUUGACUGCAUGCCGCCUAAACUAGGGUGUGCACAGCCCUCGUUCUGUGCAAAGAGGGUGCAAAGCAGCAGAGUGUCUGUGACCCAUUUGCCACCUAAUGUUACUACAAGAUUUGCAAGAACCGGUCACUUAUCAGUAACCAUUUUUAUUUAAAAAGAUAAAAUAGAGCUUUGCAGGAAAGUGCUGCAGGCUCCCACGUUGCCGGGCAGACGACAACCUGGGCGCCUCGCCCAGCUCCUCCCCACAGCCAUUGGCAUCCACUGUCAGGUUUCAAUGUUCUUGGACCUCAGGGCCUUCGUCCUCUCCAAUCUAAAUGCAGAGAGACAUUUGACAUGGACUCUCUCAGGUGUUUUGCAAAAUGCAACACAUUCUCAUUGACUCUGGUCACUCUGCUGUGCACUACAUGUCAAAACCUCUUCCUCCUCCCUGAGACUUUGGUCCUUUAACUGACAACCCCCCUCCCAUUCCCUCCCUCUGCCACUCUCUGACCCCUGGUCACCAUCGAUCUACUUGCUACUUCUAUGGGGUCAACUUGUUUAGAUCAACACUUCUGGGACCUCACGUGGAAUUGGUCUCUCUGAGGUAGUGGAGAUGCUAAGUAGUGGGAUUUCCUCAUUCCACAUUGUACCCCAUGAAUGAAUACAAGCAUGAUUUGCCAAUUGAAGCAAUACAAUAAAGACAGAAGAAAUGUAAAAUGCAGGAAUUGUGGCUUGACCACCACAACGACUUGAUUUUUGUCUUCAGCCAUGCAACUAUGUUGGGGCGAUCUUAUUCCUCCUUUUCUUUGGUAGAGACAGGCAAAAAUAUUUUAAUAGUAUGCAAAGGCAUCUAUCUCCUGGCAACCCUGCGGCAGCCCCAGCUUCUUGCCGAGCAGGCUGACGUCACAGCCUCAGGCUUCUCAGCUUGGACUUCUCAGCUUGGACGAUGCUGGCUUCCUGGGAUGGUUUUUGGUGUAUCAGGGACGUUUCUAAGACUUCACCAGUUGCUGGUGCUCUGGGUGAAAGGGGAGACAAUAGGGUCAUGCUGGGGGCUUCACUAAAACUUCCUGGCUUCCCCGAUCUGGCUUCCUCUGUAGGCUGGCAGGUGUACUGGCAAGAAUGGCGGUCUUCUGCCCUGACAUCUGGCUUUCUUCGGGAGGCUGAACGUUAAAAGCUGGCUCCCUAUGAGCCCGCAUCAGUGAGAGAGGGAAGGUGGAAAGUUCAGUGGAUGGGGAAGGAGAGGUGGGAACCCCGGGAGGAAGGGACAGUUCUCUGAUGGUGGAGCACUUCCUCUCUUGUUUUGUGUGCUCUAAAAUGAGGUAGCUGGAUUGUUUGGGGUGGUCCAGGAGUGGCUCUUCGUAUGGUAUCAGUGGCAUCUUCUGGCUACUUUUCACCCAUGGAUUUUUCAUCAGUUACAGUGAAGGACACUUCCUGGCGUUCAGCAUUAGUAAUUUUUUAAUGAGUCAAGUUGAAGGGCAAGAAGUGGUGGGGCAUGGUAUCUUCCUGUGAGAAUUUUUUCUUGAAGUUUGGAGGCUUCCCUGAGUAAAAGGGCAAAGUCCUGGCCCUUCUACCUACUGUAUUCCUGAAAUACAGUAUGACACUGAGGCUUUGUAUGUCCCUGGCGGGUCACUGGCAUGCCUGGCCCAGGGAGCGUUCUGGGGCCACGUAGGGGUACAUGCCACAAAAAGCUGUCAGCAUCUGCCCCUCUCUGAAUGUUGUACUGAAGCCAAAGUCCACAAUGUAUGUUGCCUCAUUCUUUGAAUAGGAUGUUUUGUGGCUUUAGGUCUGGAUGUGUGAUUUUUUUUUUUUUUUUAAGUGGCAGUACUGCAGGGCUGACAGAAUCUGCCUGAACAUGGUCCGGGCCUCCUCUUCCUCCUCGAUGUGGCCAUAGUGGUAUAUCUGGUGGUGCAACUCUCCUCCUCUGGUUUACUCCCUCACCACCUGGAAGAGCUGAAUGAUAUUUGGGUGAUGGAAAGUCUUCAAGAUGGCAACCUGGGUCCCAGUUGGCCUAUGCUGAGCCAGUUCCCUAUCAGAUGGUGUCUAUGAACUGAUAGUUUUGUAUCUCCUUGUCAAGUGAGGUGGAGGGUGAUCCCUGCUCCAUGGUGCCUCCCAACUAUACUGACUACAAAUCCUGCCUCUAAAAGCUAUGCUGUGAUGCACAGCACUAACUGUGCUAGCUAGGCUAAGGCCACUGUCGGUGACAAUACCCCAGGCUCCAAACCCUCUGGGUCUGAGGGCCGUUCCCUUCCACGGUUACACAGAUUCCCACCCCUCCCUGCCCAUCUACCCACCAUGCGGGGAAGGUGCCAAGGAGUAGACACAUGGACAGUCGUUCUGGUGUCUCCUGGUGGGGCCAGACUGGGCACCAUGGCUGCAAGCACAGACAGGGCAGAGAAGAGGCCAGGGCCACGUGGUGGAGCUGGGUCUAAAACAGGACUCCCAAGGGCAAAGGCCCUGCCCAGACUUGGCACCCACAGUCUUCUGCUGAAUGCUAUGAGCCCGCUUCAGUGAAAGAGGGAAGGUGGAAACUUCAAUGUAGAGAGGACAAGUGGGAUCCCCAGGAGGAAGGGUCUGUGGUCUGAUAGUGGACCGCUUCUUCUGUUUUGUUUGUUCCAAAACAAGGUAGGUGGCCAUGGGAUAACUGAAUAAUUUUUCUUUGAUUGCCACAGAUAGGUUCUCAGCCUGGAAUCCCAUGGCCACCAAAAGCUGGGUUGUUUUGGGAUUCAGGUGGUCCAGGAUUUGUUCUUCAUGUUGUCAGAGGCAACUCCUGACCACUGUUCACCCACGGGUCCCUCAUAACUUCUUCUAGUGUGGUCUGCUCCCUGGGGUCUACUGUUAAUAGUUUUUUAAUGAGGCUUUUAAGACCUCAGGAAAAGUAGACUGGGGAAAAAUAGCUUCCACUUUAAAUUUUUGCUGAGAGGACCCUAAUGCUGCAUGAGCAGAAGGGCAGAACCCCAGCCACCAUGUGGUAUAAAAUUACUCUGAGGCUCUGAAUAUCCAUGGUGGCACA